UACGUAGGCAGCAAGCGUUGUUCGGAAUUACUGGGCGUAAAGAGUGUGUAGGCGGUGCUCCAAGUCUGGUGUGAAAUCUCCCGGCUUAACUGGGAGGGUGCAUUAGAAACUGGAAUGCUAGAGGAUGGGAGAGGUAAGCGGAAUUCCUGGUGUAGCGGUGAAAUGCGUAGAUAUCAGGAGGAACACCUGUGGGUGUAGACAGCUUACUGGACCAUUUCUGACGCUGAGACACGAAAGCGUGGGUAGCAAACAGG
rnacentral:rRNA from 1 species